rnacentral:lncRNA from 13 species
ACCUGGGCACUAAAAAGUACUCUGAACAGAGGAUUCUGAAUGUGUGCAACUUGUGUUUGGAUGGAGACAGCAUAUAGUCCCUGGUGGGAGUGAACUGAAUCCAUGUGGGAAAUAUCUUGGGAGCAAGGACAGAAGUGGAUGACUAUCACCAUCACCACAUUCCUCCAGAAGCUUAGGAAGAAAAGAGCUCUGAAAGGAGCUAUGUGGUUAUAAGUGUUCAUUUUGUUAAACAAAAGACUGAUGAGAUUAAGGUGUUGACACUAAUAUGUUAACAGAGGUUAUCUCUAGAAGAAGAGGAUAUUCAAUACAUCUACAAGAUGCUCUUCUCCCCUGAGUGAUUGAUGAGGAAUAAUUAAUGAAUACAAUGCCAGUAAUUUUGACUCUGAGGUAAAACCAGCAUACAAGCCAACAUUCUCUAGCCUCAUUUGCUUGAGUGGUAUUGCUCUAAUCUACAACAAAAGGAAAGUCUUCUGGCUUCCUCGAACUGGAAGUCCUCCAGUGUGCCAUCUGAAGCACUUAGCACCCUCCAAUUCUUUGUUGGUGUUUUAUAUGAUCAACAACAGAAACAAAUCUUCCAUUAAACCUCUGUGAGUGUGUCACUAUGGUGACACUAAACAAAAGGAAAUCAAAGUCCUCUAAAUUUGAAUAAACCAGAUAUGCAAAGACAGAUACCAGUAAUUAUAAAAAUUGAAGAACUGCAUCCUGGACAAAGCUAAGCAAAGGAAACAGUCAAGGCAACAGUAUCCCAGAGUAAAGCUUCAAGGCAGCUAAGGACAUGAUUUUCAGGGAGGUCUACACAUCACUCAAUCUCCACAGCCUCAAGUGGGAGAAAGCUUGCGGACUUCAGAACCUGACAUUUGCCAUUCCUCUGGAAAAAUUGGACUGUUUCCUCAGGUUUCCAAGACUAAGAAUAUCAGAGAUGCCUAGAGCUGAAGGGAGCCCAAGAGACCACCAGCCCAGACAAAGCUGU